rnacentral:rRNA from 1 species
GACGUAGGGGGCAAGCGUUGUCCGGAUUUACUGGGCGUAAAGAGCGUGUAGGCGGCCAAACAGGUCCGUUGUGAAAACUGGAGGCUUAACCUCCAGACGUCGACGGAAACCGUAUGGCUAGAGUCCGGAAGAGGAGAGUGGAAUUCCUGGUGUAGCGGUGAAAUGCGCAGAUAUCAGGAAGAACACCAAUGGCGAAGGCAGCUCUCUGGGACGGUACUGACGCUGAGACGCGAAAGCGUGGGGAGCGAACAGG